rfam:Myotis davidii contig230174, whole genome shotgun sequence.
GGCGGUUCUUGGGUGAUGCACCCCGGAAUCAGGUUCCCUCCUCUCUGGUUCUGUGUGUGCCACUCGAGAACCGCA